GGCUGGCCCGAAGAUAGUGAGUUGUAUCAGUUGAUUGUUUAAAGUCAGUUACAGAUUAGACUAUUUGUUCUCCUCUUUCCUCUUCUCACUACUGCACUUGACUAGUCUUAA
rnacentral:Y_RNA from 1 species